ACGAAUGCUGGCGGCGUGCUUAACACAUGCAAGUCGAACGGGAGUAUAGAGGGAGCUUGCUUUUGAUAUACUCUAGUGGCGGACGGGUGAGUAACGCGUGAGGAGCUGUCCAGUACAGGGGGACAACAGAUGGAAACGUCUGCUAAUACCCCAUAAGCCUAAGGGUAAAAGGAGCGAUCCGGUACACGAGGCACUCGCGUCCUAUCAGCUAGUAGGUGAGGUAACGGCUCACCUAGGCGAAGACGGGUAGCCGGCCUGAGAGGGCGAACGGCCACACUGGAACUGAGAGACGGUCCAGACUCCUACGGGAGGCAGCAGUGGGGAAUAUUGGGCAAUGGGGGAAACCCUGACCCAGCGACGUCGCGUGGGUGAUGAAAUCCUUCGGGAUGUAAAGCCCUGUUGUAUGGGAAGAUGAAAGAGACGGUACCAUACGAGGAAGCCCCGGCAAACUACGU
rnacentral:rRNA from 1 species